rnacentral:lncRNA from 1 species
UUCAAGCUGAUUUGGCUGCUUCUCUUGGAUUUUCUGUUAAUUAUAUCAUCGGUCGCUUCAUCGUCUUUAUCCGAAACACCGAGCUUUCCCACCUUAUCUUCGCUAACCUCCGACCCGAUGAUUUUUUACUUGUGGGACACCCUUUUGGUAAAAAACUUUUCGGUGAACAUAACAUGAUUUAUAUGUUCGGACAGGAUCACAAAGAUCUUCGCCAUCAAAUCGCUCCUAACUUCACUCCUAGGGCUCUUUCUACCUAUACUACAUUGCAACAGAUUAUUAUUCUCCAACACUUACGGUCGUGGGAGCGUCUUUCCUCGGAAUCACCGGGGAAGCCGAUUUAUCUCCGCCUUUUAGCUCCCGACAUGAAUCUCGAAACCUCUCAAACUGUUUUCGUGGGCAGGUAUUUGUCUCGUGAAGCUCGGGAAAAGUUCAGAGACGAUUAUAAUCUAUUCAAUACACGUUUAAUGAAGCUCCUGUUUGAUCUCCCCGAUUUCGCGUUCCGAAACGCCAGGCUGGCCGUUGAGCGAUUAGUCGAAACCCUUAGUGAUUAUGCUACUCAAAGUAAAAAGAGGAUGUCUGAAGGAGACGAGCCUUCUUGUUUAAUUGAUUUUUGGAUGCAAGAAACUGUUAGAGAAAUAGCGGAGUCCAAAGAAAUAGCGGAGUCCAAAACGGCGCCACCUCGCUCUAGCGACGUAGAAAUCGGCAGUUACCUCUUUGAUUUUCUCUUCGCCGCUCAAGACGCCUCCACUUCGUUGCUCCUCUGGGUGGUGACCCUCCUCGACUCUCAUCUCGAUGUUCUCCGGAGAGUUCGAGAGGAAGUGUCAAGGAUUUGGUCGCCGGAGUCGGAUACUUUAAUAAGCGCAGAGCAACUGAGGGAAAUGAAGUACACUCAAACAGUGGCGCGUGAGGUUAUAAGAUAUCAGCCCCCGGCGGCGCUAGUACCGCACAUUGCGAUGAAGGAUUUCCCGUUGACCGAGUCGUACACGAUUCCCAAGGGCACGAUUGUGUUCCCUUCGGUUUACGAAUCAUCCUUCCAAGGGUUCACGGAGGCGGAUCGGUUCGAACCGAAGCAAUUCUCGGAGGAUAGGCAAGAGGAGGUGAUUUUCAAACGAAACUACCUGGCUUUUGGUGCUGGGCCCCACCAAUGCGUGGGCCAAAGGUACGCCUUGAAUCAUCUGGUGUUUUUUAUUGCCAUGUUCAUCACGGUGCUCGAUUUCAAGCGACGCCGAACCGAGGGCUGUGAUGAAAUCAUGUAUUGCCCGACCAUCUUUCCCAAAGACGGCUGCCGCGUCUCCUUAUCUCAGAGGUGCCCACGUUAUCCCAAUCUCACUCUGAAUUGACCAAAAAGCCCUCCAAUGUUCACUGACCUUAUUCGGUAAACUUGGUUGCUCUCUGUGAUUUGUUCUUUGCUACUUCUCACGUCCUUGAAGGUUGGGACCGUCACACUUUGUUUGUAGCUAUGAUUCUUUGGUUUUAAUAUUUUAUUAAUGAUGAUUAUAUGUGGUAAUUUUAAUUUUAAAAAACAUUGAAUUAUAUAUUUGACGAAAUAAAACUUAAUUAAUUAAAAAUUGAUAUUAGUACAAUUAUGAUUGAAACGAACUAUUUAUGAGCAUGAUAAAUUGGUAUUUAUGGGUAAUAAUAAAGUAUAAAGUUGAUGAAAUAUGAGUGAAACUGACAUAAAGUUGGCAGUUAGUGAAGUAAUGCACAUGUUGGUUGGAAUCAAGCGGUGGUCCAUGCUUUCCAUCUGCAUUGUCAAUGUUGUAUCUUUGUAUUUGGAUUUUCAUAACUUAAACGUCUGUUAGUGUUAGUCUGUUCACAGCUGAGAUUGUAGUAAUAGAGUAUAUUGUGUCUUUUAUUUCUGUAGUGUUAGCUGUAAUAAUGAAGUAUAUCGUAAUUUCAAUUUCAAAUCUUAAAAUACAACAAUUUCACUAUAACAUACUCAAUAAUAUAAUUUCGAAUUUCAUGUGAUGAUCUGACGGUCAAGAGUGUUUAACGCCCCAGGUAUGACCUGAGUUCGAGUUGCGCUAAUCAUGUUUAUUUUUUGGGCUUUGCCUUAUUAUUGUUUGGGUUGGAAUGGUAAAAUUAGGUAAAAGUAUCAAAGAAGCAUAUGUAUUUAAUAGUAAUUUGUGUUUCGAUCUUUCUAUUAAAAAAUGCAUCAAUUAAUCUUAAUAUAUUUCAAAGCAUGUAAAUUAGUCUUUCCACUAAAUUUUAUCUCUUAAAUGAUGAUGUCGAAUGUUAUUUUAAAUGAUUAAUUACUAAUUUAGUCCUUGAAUUAUAGUUGAAAGCCAUUUUAAUUUUUUUUUAAAUUUCUUACCAAUAAUUUUAAAAAAUAAAAAAUCUUAAAUAUAAUUAAAAAUAUUAAAAAUCAUGUUAAAACAAAAUCAAAUCCAGAUUUAUUAAAGCCAAAUGUUCCAUUCAAAUAAAUUCUUUUUUGGUGAAUCAUGAUUUUUUUUUUCUGAAAAAUUGAUCUCACUCUCAAUAAUAGGGAGAUAUUUUCAUCUUCAAUAAAAUUUUCGAUUUGAUGAAAACUAUCUAAUGCAAUAAGACACUAACCUUAUCUGUUGAAAAUGCUCUCCAAUGCAAUUCUAAAAGCAUUUAUUUAAUGGUUUUAUUACUAUUGAAAUACAAUCAAACCAAAGAAACAACACAUCUACAAUAAACAACAUAUUUAGCAAUAAAGAAGAAAAUGAAGACAAUGAGCUCCUUUCGCUACUUUUUCAUCUCUAGAGAUGACUUGAUGGCUUUAGGGUUUUAUUUUAAAUUAAAAUUUCAUUUUUUACUUUUUAUUUCUUCUCAUAAAUUGAAACACUAAUUCUAAAAUUUCAAAACCCACGGAGUUCUUAUUAAGAACCUAAAAAUUUAUAUUAAAAAUUCAAAAUCUAGAAAUUGUUAAACCUAGUAACUUAAAGAUUAAAGCUUCUUAGGGUAUUAAACAAGAAAAUCUUCAAAUGGGAAUGUUUAUAAUAGCUGAUGGGAUGCAAAAAUGAGUAAUCAAAAUUUUAUAACAGUGAUUACAUACCACCAAGAGAUGUGAAAAUGAGUAUUCGCCAAAGUAGAAGAAAGUAAACAUUAAAUAAACUUUCAUGUACGUUUUAGUUGGAAGCAUGAACGAUGAAGAUGAAACUAAGAAUUAACGAAAGCAUGAGAAACUUGAAAGUGAGUAAUCAAAACUUUUAGUUUAUUUAUUUUUUCUUAAAUAAAGUUUUUAUUUAUUUAUAGCUUCAAUCAAGCAUUGAAUUUUUAUUUUUAUUUUUCUGGGUUUGGUAAAACAGGGAAAAAAAGUUUUGUUAAAAGGUCAUGAUUUCUACUUUUGAUUGGAUAAUUUGAUAAAAAAAAUUAAGAUUUCUUUUUGUAAGAUUUUUAGAUUGUUUUACAUAUAUAUUUUGAAAUUUUAUUUUUUUAAAAAGAUUUAACAUUAUUUUAAAUAUAUCUUUUAACAAUUUAUAUUUAUUUUAAGAUUUAUUUUAAAAUUUUUAGAAUUAUUGUUAAUAAUUUUAAAAAAAAUCAAAAUGAUAUUUUAGCUAUAGUAAACAGAUCAAAUUAGUAAUUAAUCAUUUAAAGUAACGUUCCACAUUAUCAUUUAGCAGACCAAAUUUAAAGUAGGGGUUAAGUUGCAUGUUUUGAAAUGUAUAAGAAUUUAUUUAUCCAUUUUUUUAAUAGAGGGGUCAAAACGUAAUCUACCUCAAAAUGUAAGGGCUUUCUUAAUACUUUUAAUGUAAAAUGAAGACAUUGAAAAGAUUAAACUAACUAAAAGUUAAUAUUUUGAAUAAUUUUGUUAAACACGUUUAAUAAUCUAUAAUAAAAUUGAAAUGAUAAAAAAUUUCAAUAAAAUGAAUGUAGGUUUCAUAAUCCAUAAUAAAAUUGAAAUGAUAGAUUUUUUUAAUAAAAAAUAUAAAAUUAAUAAUAGAUAAAAUGGUUCUUUUUUUUUUUUGGUUGCUUCCCUUGCAUUAGCAUUCAAAAUAUUAGAUAUAUUCAUUCAUACUGAAUCGUGUAAAGCUUAUUGUCCAGGUUGGCCUUCAAAUACUAUUUGGUUGCUAUAAUUACAAAGGAUAAUCCUGGAUACAAAAUUCAUAAACUUGGUUAUAUAACCAUCGCAAUAAUUCAAGACACCUCACUCAAUAAUUGAGUUAUUUAAUGCAUUAUGUCAUUUAUGAGGUGAGGAUUUGGAUGUGACGAUCUAUUUGUUAAACUAGAUCAUCAUCACUCCCAAUAAUUAAAAACUUCUACGUCAGUGUUCAAUAUAUUUAUGGUGGCUAGACAUUAAUUUUCAAAUUUAGAACAUCUUUGAUUUUAAUUUUGAUCAAAUAUUUGGAAAUCAAGCUGGUCCCAUUGAAUCAGUAUUUCAUUUGAGCUUUUUAGGCUGUUUUACUUAAAUAGUCUAAAAAAUGUUAUAUUUACAAAAAUAACUCAGGUUUAAAAACAAUCACCAAAAUAACCUGAUAUGAACAGUAAAAUGAGAUUUUAGCCUGUCAAUGGCCGGAACCAACUCGUAUUUUGGACUCAUGAUUGUCUGAUAAUUGUGUCAGAGUUAAAAAAAAAUGAUUUUUUUGGUUCUAGUCUGUCAAUGGCCGAAACCAGUGUAUUUUUUUUAAAUUGUAUAAUACUGAUAUACAAAAUAGAAAAAAAAUAAAAAAAUUUUUGAGUGUUGGCCUGUCAAUGGCCGGCACCCCUGUACACGGAAUUUUUUUUUCUAGUUUUGGUCUAUCAAUAGCCGGCACUAAAACACGAAAAAAUUAAUUUUUUUUGGUGGCCUGCCAAUGGCCGGCACCACCAUUUUUGGGGAAACUUUUUUUUUCACUUUUUUCGUGUAAAUAGCAGAUAUCAGUAUACGAAAAAAGUAAAAAAAAAAUUGGUAGUGGCCUGCCAAUGGCCGACACCACAAUAACCUUUUUUGUAUAUCAGUAUUAUACAAUUUAAAAAAAAUACACUGGUUCCGGCCAUUGACAUAUCAGAACAAAAAAAAUCAUAUUUUUAACUCUGACAUAAUUAUUAGGCAAUCAUGGGUCUAAAAUACGAGUUGGUUCCGACCAUUGAUAGGCCACAACUCCAUUUUACUGUUCAUUUCAAGUUAUUUUUGUGAUUAUUUUUAAACCUAAGUUAUUUUUAUAAAUAUAAUAUUUUUUUAGACUAUAUAGGUAAAACAACCAGUUUUUUAAGUUAUCAAUAAAUAUUAUUAAAAGAUAUUAAUAAAGCUUAUAAUGUAAUCAUAAAGAAAUCAAUUUUCUCUUAUUAAAAAAAUAUUAAAGAAAAAAGGAAUUAUAUCCCACAUUUAAACAUUUGAGAGGCCGUAAACAAUAUUCACACUAGAUUAAAACACGACCAAUGUUAGAAUUUGUGUUCUAAAAUUUUCAGUAAAUCUUAAUUCUCCAUCCAAAGUUAAUAUAAAAGGAAAAUAGAUAUUACAAACCGGUGGUGCCACUUUCAAUCUUUUGCUUCAUAAAUAGGAUUUCCUUGUUUAUAAACAUUAGUAAAGAAUAAUUUAAUUAUUUUCUUUUUAAUUAUCUCACUUUUUUCUUAAAGUAAGUAAAAUGUAUUUUAUUGUUUUAUUAUUACUUUUUUAAUCGAAUUUGUUUUAAUCUUACAUUCGCCAUUCGCCAAUACCAUUAACACACUGUUUAGUCUGCCAACUGCAAAAUGCACGAGUCAAAGAAGAAGAUUAGUCUGCCAUCGACAGCGCACAACUUUCGUGGGUGCUGGGGUCAAAAGAAAAAAAGAGGUUAUUUUACCCAAAUAGUUCAAAAAAAUAUUUUAUUUACAAAAAAUAAUUCAAGUUUAAAAACAAUAACGAAAAGAACUUGAAAUAAACAGUAAAAUCAGGUUGUGACUUGCAAAUGGCCGGAACCAACUCGUAUUUUAGACCCAUGAUUACCUAAUAAUUGUGUCAAACUUAAAAAAAUAAUUUUUUUUUGGUUUUGGCCUCUCAAUGGCCGGAACCAGUAUAUUUUUUUAAGAUUUUAUAAUACUGAUAUACAAAAAGGAAAAAAAUUUGGGUGUUGACCUGUCAAUGGCCGGCACCCUUGUACACGAAAAAAAAUUUGAAUUUUGGUCUGUCAAUGGCCAGUAUCAGAAUACGAGAAAAAAUAAAAAAAUUCCUUUUUUGGUGGUGGUCUAGCAAUGGCCGGCACCACCUUUUUUUUUAAAAAUUUUUUUUAUUUUUUUCGUAUUAGAUGAAACUAUCAGUAUAUGAAAAUAGUAAAAAAAAAUUAAAAAGAUGGUGCAGGCCAUUCCCAAACCAAGACCAAAAAAAAUAACUUUUUUUACUUUUUUCGUCACAUCCAGAUCCUGGGGAUAGUUGACCUCACCUCAUAAAUGACAUAAUGCCUUAAAUAAUUUAUACAAGUCCUCAUCUUUGUUACAGUAUAAUUUGGUCAUAUCUCCCUUUCCAUAUUUUUUUUAUUUUAAGAAAUAGUCAAUAACAUAAAACAUAUAUUCUUAAUGGGCGAAUGAAAUUUUAAGUUUUUAUAAUGGCGGGGAACCCAAUGUACUAUUCACUGCCUCUCAGCCUCACAUCUUCAUUACUUGCAUUCCCUUCCCAAUCUAUAAUAAUAAACCCAUCAACUAAAUCGAAUUUAAAAUCUAUCUUUACCACUAUGUACAGUAAUUCUACUUGAUGAUAAAUUAAAUUCCUAAAAAAUAAUUAAAAAAAAAACACUUCAACAAAACUGCAAGUAAUUGGUGAUGUUAGCAAUGACUUAUGACACUAACAUCUCGAAGCUGUUUCUCAGUUUGGUUGAUGGCCAGUUUCCUGUUGGGACUUUUCAACAAGACAGACACAAGUGCCAUCGUAGGAAGGGAAAAGGACAAUUUUCACACUAUUUAUUGCUCAAUUUGACUUGCUCCCCUCUCUAUUUGUAGCUUUUUUUGCUUUUUCUAUAAUUACCUUUUCACUUUGAAAUUUCCUUCGUUUAUUAUAAAAUUAGAUGCAACCAAAUAUAUUUCAAUUACAUUUAUACUAAAACAAGUAUUAAAAUUAAUAAUUAUAUUCAAUAACUUAAUUAAACUAAUUAAUAUUAUUAGUUAAUACAAUUGACAUAAUUACAUUUAUAUUCAAUUACUUCAUAAAGCAACAUUAUUUAAAAUAAUAACUAACUGACAUAAUUAAAUUAUUUUAAUCAUUCAAAUAUAAUACUAAUAAAAAUAUUUUAAUCAUUAUUAAAUUAUUUGUACAAAGCUGAGAAAAUGUAAAUUAAACUCUUCACUAUUCAAAUUGUUCAUUUUUUAUUAGUCAAUAAAUUGACUUCAUAAAUAAUAUAUAAUCAAUACAAUUAUAAUACAUUAGAUGAAUUAUUUAUAAAAUCUUAUAUAUUAAAUAUUGGAGUUACUCUUUUUCUUUUGAAGCAAAGUAAUAUAUCUUUUAGUUAAGGAAACAUAAUAAUUUAAACAUAUUAUUUUUAUCUAAUAAAUAUAAAGUAGUUUAAUAUAAAAUUUAUUUUUAUUAUUAUAUAGAUUCAUUUAAUAAAUUUUUUAAAAUAGAAUCAAAAUUUUUAUUUAGAUAAAAUUUCUUAUUAGUGAAAUUAAAAAUAUGGUGGCAAAUCUUAGAAAUAAUAAAAGAAAACAUGGUUUUGUUUUUGCCAUCUGCCCCUCCAAUCUUACUAUAAAUAAUUAAUUAGCUAAACGUAUGGCUGAAUUCAUUGGUUGAGUUGGCAUGAAUAUGAUAUUGAUUGGUUGAUGUAUAAAUCCAAUUUAAAAUUGGAAUGAUUUAUAUAUUGAUGCGCAUUGUUGUUGAAGAGAAAACAAGAAUAUCUUUAUUUCCACUAUAGUUUUCUCCACCCAAAGAAGCAAUGCAGCUGCAGAAGGAUAUGUACUAGUUUAAAGAUUAAAUCAAAAAUUAAUUAAGAGUUUUGUCUGUACCUGGAUUUUGCAAAUCAACUUUGCAAAUAUCAGAAUCCUUAUUGCCAACCUGUUGGCGGUUUGAUCACAUAGGCGAAAUAAUUUUAAAUUCCGAAACGAUUAAAGCAAUUUUAACCAUGAUAAUUUUGGCUUGCAACAUAUAUAUAUAUAUUCGAAAAUUGCAGCGUCUACCACGAAAAACACCUUGUAAUAUUUCAUAUAAUAGAAUAGUAACAUAUUAAAAACAAUAAUUUAAUCGAUUCAAAAGAUUCUUUUUAGACCUACACUAUUUAUAAAAAAAAUAACAAAUAUAAUUAGAAUAUAUGAAGAGAUUUUUUUUAAAAAAUUAUAUAUUUUAAAAAUUAUUAUUUAAACUCGAUAACGCAGGUCAAAGUUUUCAUUUGAUAAUAUUAAAAUAAUUUUAUAUUGCGUGGACUUGUGGAAUUCUUUGUACUCUAGAACAAUUUAAGAAGGGAUGGAGUUGUAUCAGGUUUUUCAUUGCUCUGUACAAGUUGAAAACUCAAGGCGGAGAUCGACUUGAUUUCCAGCUAUUUAUUUCGAAAAGGACUCUGCUGACCUCAAUCCUUCCAAUGCUUGCCAAACUCUUUCGUCAUUAGAUGUUGAUAUAAUAUUUUUGUAAAUACAAAUAUUUUUUUGGGCUAUUUAGGUAAAAUAGCCAAAAAAAAAAAAUGACAAAUUUUGACAUUGAAAUCUCAACACCUUCCCCCCUGCUUUGACCAUCCAUUCCCUCUAUUUAAAUUCUUUCUGCCAUUCCCAAUUUCCUCUGCACACCCAGAAGAAAAUGGUCGCUUGUUUCUCUUUUCUUUUCCCUCUUGCUCCAUUUUUUGUCACCUUUUUGUUUCUUAUCCUUUUCCUGGAACAGAUCUCUUACUUGUGCAAAAAGCGAAAUGUCCCUGGCCCCAACAUCGUCUUGCCUUUCUUGGGCAACGCCAUUUCAUUAGUCACAAAACCCACAAGGUUCUGGGAAGUUCAAGCUGAUUUGGCUACUUCUCUUGGAUUUUCUGUUAAUUAUAUCAUUGGUUGCUUCAUUGUCUUUAUCCGAAGCACCGAACUUUCCCACUAUAUCUUCGCCAACGUCCGACCCGAUGCUUUUUUACUUGUGGGACACCCUUUCGGUAAAAAGCUUUUCGGUGAACAUAACAUGAUUUAUAUGUUCGGACAGGAUCACAAAGAUCUUCGUCGUCAAAUUGCUCCUAACUUCACUCCUAGGGCUCUCUCUACCUAUACUGCAUUGCAACAGAUUAUCAUUCUCCAACACUUAAAGUCAUGGGAGCGUCUUUCCUCGGAAUCGCCGGGAAAGCCAAUUUCUCUCCGCCUUUUAGCUCGCGACAUGAAUCUCGAAACCUCUCAAACUGUUUUCGUGGGCAGGUAUUUGUCUCAUGAAGCUCGGGACAAGUUCAGAGACGAUUAUAAUCUAUUCAAUACAGGUUUAAUGAAGCUCCCGUUUGAUCUCCCCGGUUUUGCGUUUCGAAACGCCAGGCUGGCCGUUGAGCGAUUAGUCGAAACCCUUGGUGAUUGUGCUACUCAAAGUAAAAAGAGGAUGUCUGAAGGAGAUGAGCCUUCUUGUUUAAUUGAUUUUUGGAUGCAAGAAACUGUUAGAGAAAUAGCGGAGUCCAAAAUGGCGCCACCUCACUCUAGCAACGUAGAAAUCGGCAGUUACCUCUUUGAUUUUCUCUUCGCCGCUCAAGACGCCUCCACUUCAUCGCUCCUCUGGGCGGUGACCCUCCUCGACUCUCAUCCCGAUGUUCUCCGGAGAGUUCGGGAGGAAGUAUCAAGGAUUUGGUCGUCGGAGUCCGAUACUUUAAUAAGCGCAGAGCAACUGAGGGAAAUGAAGUACACUCAAGCAGUGGCGCGUGAGGUUAUAAGAUAUCGGCCCCCGGCGACGCUAGUACCGCACAUUGCGAUGAAGGAUUUCCCGUUGACCGAGUCGUACACGAUUCCCAAGGGCACGAUCGUGUUCCCCUCGGUUUACGAAUCAUCCUUCCAAGGGUUCACAGAGGCGGACCGGUUCGAACCAGAGCGAUUCUUGGAGGAUAGGCAAGAGGAGGUGAUUUUCAAACGAAACUACCUUGCUUUCGGUGCUGGGCCCCACCAGUGCGUGGGCCAAAGGUACGCCUUAAAUCAUCUGGUGCUUUUCAUUGCAAUGUUCGUCACGGUGCUCGAUUUCAAGCGACACCGAACCGAGGGCUGUGAUGAAAUCAUGUAUUGCCCGACCAUCUGUCCCAAAGACGGCUGCCGCGUCUCCUUAUCUCGGAGGUGCUCGCGUUAUCCCAAUCUCUCUCUUAAUUGACCAAAAAGCCCUCCAAAGUUCUCUCGCCUUCUUUUCCGGUGAACUUGGUAGCUCUCUGUGAUUUUUGUCCUUUGCUGCUUCUCACGUCCUUCAAGGCUGGGACCGUCAAACCUUGUUUGUGGCUAUGAUUCUUUGAUGUGAGGUAUUUUUAUGUACAUACACAUUGAUGGAGGGUUUGGAUAAUUUCUUCUUUUUUUUUCCCUUAAUUUAAUAAAUGAAAAUUGGUUGGUGUUUUAUCAAAUAAACAAAAAAUUGUAUUUUAAAGUUGUAAUGUUCAUUUCUCAUUGUAAGUUGAGAUUCACAUGAAUGGACAAGUUCGAAAAGGUCCUUAAAAUAUUAAUUGGUCACAAUAAUUACUAUAAUUACAAAGGACAAUCCUGCAUACAAAAUUCAUAAAACCAUUGCAAUAAUUUAAGACAGCUUACUCCAAUAAUAGAGUUAUGUGUUUGCAUAAUAAUGAUAAUAAUAAUGGUGUCAUUUGAUCACUAUCUUCUUUAGUUUGCAUCAGUAUCCUUGGAAUAUAACUUGGCAUUUUAGGCAAAAAUGCCAAUAAUUCUGACUUUGAAAUUAGCUUUUUUAACACGAUAAAAGUAUUUUAUGCAUAAGUAAUCCAUGUUAUACUCGUGCCCAUAUCGUUUUCGCUACCGACAGAAAUGUGUUGCCGAGUACUAUUUUUGGAUUUAUUAUUAUUUUCAAAUAUUUUUCAUAUUUAUUUUUUAGUUUUUUAAUAAAUUAGGUUACAAGAAUGAGAAUUUAAGUUACAUCCCACUAUCUUAUCCUCACUCUCAAUUAUAAAAAAUUAAUAAUUUAAUUUAAAAUAUCAAAAUUUUAUAUUAAUCAAUAUAAAUCAGAAUGAACUGCCCUCAAAUUUUAAUCAAAAGUUACGAUUUGACUUAAAUGAUAUUAACUACUAUGAUUUGAGUUGAUAUCAUUUAGAUGGACAUGAAAUUUAGACUGCAACAUAAAAAUUCAAAAUUUAUCUUCUUCAUUUGAAUUUGUAUUUAUUUUACUAAAACAAAAUGACAAGUGACAUGGAAUAACAUUGGCUAAUAUAUUAAUUUUAGCAGAUAUAUAACUAAAUAUUUCAUUGCAAAACCUAUAUUAUAAUUAUACUUAUCAUGGGUUAGGUCAUUUGUCCAGAUCCGAAGGUCUGCUUGAAAAGUGUAUGCAUUUAAGCAAAAAUAUAAGUAUAAAAAUAGGCUUGGACAAAAAAUAAUACUCGUCUUUUUAAAGAAUCAAGCCUAGAGUAAGUUUUUUCCUAGGCCCAAUCUAAAAUUGCCUAAAUAUUUUUUUCAUUCUUGUUUGCUACUAUUUUGCCAUGGUUUGCUGCCAUUUUGAUAUUUUACUGUCAUUUUGCUAUUAUAUUAUUACUAUUUUAAAGGUAGUUUUUUUAUUGUAUUAUAAUUAUCCUAGUGUUAUUUAAGUAUAAAUAUUUUUUUAAUGUAUAUUCUAUUUGUUCAGAAACAUUCAUUCUAAUGUUUUUAGUGUAUUUAAUGUAUUAUUUUUUUAAAUUUGUUUUUAUAUAUAUAAAAAACAUAAAACGGGCGGGUCAAAUCAAGCUCAACAUUUUUUAUUUAGGCUAGACUUGAACAAAAUUUUAAGCCCAUUUUUAGGAUUGAGCCAUACCUACGCCUAGAAAACGGGCUUAACAUUUUGUAUUACUCCGAUCUGGCCAUGAUCAGGUCAAGCGAUAACCCCCAAAAUUAAAAGAAAUGAGGAAUUAAAGUUAUUAUUAUAUCAUAAAUUUAUACUUUACAAGUUUAAAAUGGGGUUAAUUAAUGUUUUAAUGCUGAAAAAGAUUUAUACAAAAUUUUAAUUUCUAACCGCAAAAAAAUAAUUAAAUAAAAACGCGUUCUAUAAGUCGCAUUUUCACUUCUCUCAAAAAAUAAAGUAAAUCGAUAAAUUUUAAAAUAUCAACUUAGAUUCUCAAAUAAAUUUUUUUUCCAAUAUAUACAUAAAUUAACAUUUAAAAUGGUUAAAAAGUGUUUUUUCUUUUAUUUACUUCACUUUAUGGUAACGGUGUUAAAUUAUUUCUAAAAAACAAAAAGAGAAAAGGAGAUAUGGCUAAAUUAUAUCGCGAGAAAGAUGAAUGGUUAUAAAUGUAAGGCGUUAGGUCUUUAUAGGUCAACUAUUCCCAGGACCGGGGUGUGACGAUCCAUUUAUUAAUUAAAACCUUCUAGAAAGAUUGAAUUUGAAAUUUAAAAUAUGUUUGAUUUUAGUUGUGUUUUGAAAUCAAAAUGAUCCCAUUGAUUUGAGUUAUCAAUUAAUAUUAUUAAAAGAAGUUAAUAACGUUUAAGAGUUGGCCCUAAUUUAAAACAUGAUCAAGGUUAGGGGACUAUAUCCCACUUUUAAACAUUUAAGAGGCCCCAAAGAAUAUUCAAAGAAGAAGGCCCUAAAUUAAAACACGAUCAACGUUACAAUUUGUUAUAUUCCUGGAAAGAUUUUCCUUUUUCUUUUCUUUCUCCAGUAGUCUAAAAUUUUGUGUCAACAGAAUUCUCCGUCCCAAGUCGAUAUAAAACACACAUUCAAUUAUUAGUAGAUUUACGUUUUGAUCAUUCAAUUUUAAAAUGUUAUACAGUAGCCAUUGAAUUAUUUGAAAGAUUUUGUUAAAAUCAUUAUUAUAUGACAUUCUCCAUUUGUAUGGCCUACAUCAAUCAAAAACUCUCCUUUUUUCUCCUAUAUUCUAUAUUUAAUUUCUUUUUCCAUGAAACCACUUUAAACCUCACGAUUUUGCAAACUAAAAGCCAAACAGGUUUCUUCUCCGAUCUCUCACACUGACUGUCAGAUUGAUUUGGAUCUUAGGUAUGUCCUUCUACUCGUCGAUGGGUAUUCAUCCACCAUAUUAACCAACGAAUUGUUGCUUAAAGCUCAUUAGCCGAACUUUAUAAAAGGAAAAUUUAACAACCAAGUGACUUAAAUAAAAACUUUUGAAUAGUUCAAUGACUUAAAUGAAAUUUUUGAAUAAUUCAAUGACCACUUUAUAAAUUGACCAAAAUAUAAACUUAUUAAUAAUUUAGUGACUUUAAAUGUAAUAUACUCAUAUAAAAAAAAUAGAUUCUAUGAACUGGUGGUGCCACUUUCAACCUUUUAAUUUUUAAACUCUCAUGACAAAUAGGGUUUGCUUGUUUAUAAGUAUUAGCCUUUAAUGUCACAUGUGUUACACAUUAUUUUAUACAUUUUUAAUUUAUAGAAUAAUAUAUUUUUUAAAAUUUAAAAAUACAUUUAUGUUGAUUAAAUUGUACUAAAUGUCAAUUUCUUUUGAAAAAUAAUGGAGAGACUAAAACAACGUAUUAAAAAUAAUAAAAACAAAAAUUGAAUUAAUGUAUAAAAUAAUCAAAAUAAUAUACAAAUUUGAAAAUAUAUGAGAAAGUAAAUACAAAAAUAUAUACACAAAAUCAACGAUGACUAAAAAAUAGUUGUAAAAUUUUGAAUUUCUUUUCAAAACAAAUAUUUUAUUUUCAUCAAGCAAAUAAUAGAUAAAGAAAAGAAUAGAUUUAAGAUUACUUGCUUUGUGUAGAAUAAACAACUUACAAUUUUUAAAAAAGUAAUAUCAUGAUAUUAUAUUACCUCAUCAUCAAUUAAAAUAAAAUUUUAUCUCAUUUUGGUGUCAUUAUUAUUCGAACAUAAUUCGAUAUUGACUCUUCAAAGAAACAUUAGCACUGCUUGAAUGCUUUAUUCUUUUUUCUAUAAUUCUAUCUUAUUAUCAUUAAUCGCUAACAAUAUUCGUUUCUUACUGUAAUUUUUCUUAAAUGCUCUACGUGGUUGCAUAUACCUAACCAUUGAGUGUUACUUAUAAAGCUAAAAUUAAAUUUUAAUUGAUAUACAACUCUAAUAUUAAUUAAAUGAUAAUCAAGAUACUUAUAGCUUUAUUCAAUUAAUAAAUCUAUUUUUACAUAAAUAAUAUUGGCAUAAUAUUUUUUAAAAAAUAAAAUAAUAAUUAUAAUAGGGUCAAAAUUAAAGUAUAACUAUUUUUAAUUAAUAAUUAUAAUUAUAAUUAUAAUUAUAAUUUAAUCAUCACAAGUUUUUCUAUAUUUUAUACUUAUAAUUCUAUACAAGUAAUAAUUCUAUUAUGAAAUUAGCAAAAAAUUAUUUUCAUAAAAGAAAGUUUUAAAUAAAAAUUAUAAAUUUAAUUAUAAUUAUUUUUAAAUGUGUAAUUAUCACAACUUCUAUUUUAAGUUAACAUUUUUAAUUAAAUAUUUUAAAUAUUUUUAAAUAUCAAUUUAAUAAUAUGAUGAAAAAUGAAGAAUAUUUUUGUUAGUUCAAAAGUUUUUCUAAACCGUAAUUUUAUAUAUACUAAAGAUUAAUAAAGAGUAAUUUAAUUAUUAUUUUAAAAUUUUGUAAUAUUUAAUCAUCCUACUUUUUCAUAAAUUUAAUAAGAAGUAAUUUUUUUAUUACAUGUUUAUUGUUUUAAUAUCACAAUCACCACUGCCAUGAAACACUGAUGAUAUUUUCUAAUAAACGGCACGUAUCUAAAAGCGUAGGAGACUUGGCAUCCUUUAUUAAAUGAUACAAUAUACCCUUUAAAUAUUUUAAGAAUUUAAAUUUAAACUAAUUUUUUCCGAAUAAUUUAAUUUAAUUUAAUAUUAAAUUUAAAAAAUAAUAAUUCAAUUUAAAAUAUUUUAGGGUUAAAAUAUAAAUUUAUCAUUAUAAUUUGUUUUCAUUGAUAUGUGCCAUUAUAUUUUAAUAAUAUGAGCAAAAUUAAUAUUUAACUUUUAUGCGAUUUAAUUCUAUUACUAACCUUUUAUUUUAUUUUUGAAAUUUGCAAUCAAUUUUGAUUUUUUUAAUUAAAUUUUACAGCUCAACGUUAAAUUUGAUAAUUUGAAAACUUGAUUUAAUAAAAAAAUAUUUUAUUUUAAUAGUUAAUAAUGAUUUAACUUAUAAAUAUUAAAAAUUAAUAAAUUAACUUAGAAGUUGUAUUUAAUGAAUCGAAAACUUGAAAUAAUAAGAAAAACAAGUUUAUUUUAUAAAAUAACCAUUUUUAUUUAUUUUAAUAUUAUAUUAAUUAAAUUAUUAUUGAUAAAUAUUAAAGUAAAAUAUAAAAAAUGAUUUAUUAAAUUUGGUCUUCAAAUUAUUUAAAAUUAAACUUGGCAAAAUUCAAAUUAAAUUUUAACUUUAAAAUCAAAUAAAGGUAAAAAAAUCAAAAUAGAGUAUAAUGAUAAAUUUAUCUUUAAUUUAUAAGAACAAUGAUAAAAUAUUAAUCAUGAUUUUCAAUUUCCGCUGAAAAUAUAGUCACCAAAUUGCAUAUUAACCAAACAUUUUAAUAUAAAAUUAUAAGAUAUGGCGUUUUAAAAAAAAUGUUUCAUCUCCACCCAAAACAAAACUUUUAAUUUUGUGCUUACCAAUAAAUAGAGUGAAAACGGGUGGGAUAUAUAAAAUUUAAUCUUAAAGUAGGGCAAAGGCAGAACAAUUUUUUAUGGCGAAUGAAAUUUUAACUUUUUAUAUUGUCUAUAUCUUUAUAAUUUUUAAAGGAUUAAAUUUAAUUUUUAUAAUUUUAAGAAGGCCAAAAUAUAAUUUAUCUUUAUUAAUUUAAAAUUUUAAAAAAAAACUAAAGGACCUAAAUGACAAAAUUUCAUUUUAGGGGGGCCGGGUCCCAUUGCCCCCCGGGCGAAUCGCCUCUGCCCUAAAGGAUGCUUCCAACCAUGUGAAAGAUAAUUUGCCUCAUUGAUGAUGCAAUGAAGAUGUUGGGUCAAAGAAAAAAGUGAUAAGCAACCGAAGAAAAGAAGGUCAAACAGCCUAAUUGGAGGUCCAAAUUAGUAUAUGGAGAUUAGCAUUUGGCAAAUUAGCAUGUUAGCCGAAAGCCAAACUGUGCUGGCCACCUACGUCAAAGAAAAACAAAUAUGACUAGUCUAGAAAGAUUGUUUUGAAUGAGAAUAGUUUGAUGGUUUCGUGGUCACUUGGGAUAAUUAAAGAAUGACAAAAAUUGACUAUUGUCUGAAAUAUUAUCAACUCAAAUCUUGAAACAUCUCUUACUUGGUAAUUUAGAGCUGAACCAAAACUAAAUAAUGUUUGUAAAAAUAGAUUAGCGACUUAAAAUGGCAGUGUCUGUGUGAUAAUGGCGGGGAACCCAAUGUACUAUUCACUGCCUCUCAGCCUCACAUCUUCAUUACUUGCAUUCCCUUCCCAAUCUAUAAUAAUAAACCCAUCAACUAAAUCGAAUUUAAAAUCUAUCUUUACCACUAUGUACAGUAAUUCUACUUGAUGAUAAAUUAAAUUCCUAAAAAAUAAUUAAAAAAAAAACACUUCAACAAAACUGCAAGUAAUUGGUGAUGUUAGCAAUGACUUAUGACACUAACAUCUCGAAGCUGUUUCUCAGUUUGGUUGAUGGCCAGUUUCCUGUUGGGACUUUUCAACAAGACAGACACAAGUGCCAUCGUAGGAAGGGAAAAGGACAAUUUUCACACUAUUUAUUGCUCAAUUUGACUUGCUCCCCUCUCUAUUUGUAGCUUUUUUUGCUUUUUCUAUAAUUACCUUUUCACUUUGAAAUUUCCUUCGUUUAUUAUAAAAUUAGAUGCAACCAAAUAUAUUUCAAUUACAUUUAUACUAAAACAAGUAUUAAAAUUAAUAAUUAUAUUCAAUAACUUAAUUAAACUAAUUAAUAUUAUUAGUUAAUACAAUUGACAUAAUUACAUUUAUAUUCAAUUACUUCAUAAAGCAACAUUAUUUAAAAUAAUAACUAACUGACAUAAUUAAAUUAUUUUAAUCAUUCAAAUAUAAUACUAAUAAAAAUAUUUUAAUCAUUAUUAAAUUAUUUGUACAAAGCUGAGAAAAUGUAAAUUAAACUCUUCACUAUUCAAAUUGUUCAUUUUUUAUUAGUCAAUAAAUUGACUUCAUAAAUAAUAUAUAAUCAAUACAAUUAUAAUACAUUAGAUGAAUUAUUUAUAAAAUCUUAUAUAUUAAAUAUUGGAGUUACUCUUUUUCUUUUGAAGCAAAGUAAUAUAUCUUUUAGUUAAGGAAACAUAAUAAUUUAAACAUAUUAUUUUUAUCUAAUAAAUAUAAAGUAGUUUAAUAUAAAAUUUAUUUUUAUUAUUAUAUAGAUUCAUUUAAUAAAUUUUUUAAAAUAGAAUCAAAAUUUUUAUUUAGAUAAAAUUUCUUAUUAGUGAAAUUAAAAAUAUGGUGGCAAAUCUUAGAAAUAAUAAAAGAAAACAUGGUUUUGUUUUUGCCAUCUGCCCCUCCAAUCUUACUAUAAAUAAUUAAUUAGCUAAACGUAUGGCUGAAUUCAUUGGUUGAGUUGGCAUGAGUAUGAUAUUGAUUGGUUGAUGUAUAAAUCCAAUUUAAAAUUGGAAUGAUUUAUAUAUUGAUGCGCAUUGUUGUUGAAGAGAAAACAAGAAUAUCUUUAUUUCCACUAUAGUUUUCUCCACCCAAAGAAGCAAUGCAGCUGCAGAAGGAUAUGUACUAGUUUAAAGAUUAAAUCAAAAAUUAAUUAAGAGUUUUGUCUGUACCUGGAUUUUGCAAAUCAACUUUGCAAAUAUCAGAAUCCUUAUUGCCAACCUGUUGGCGGUUUGAUCACAUAGGCGAAAUAAUUUUAAAUUCCGAAACGAUGAAAGCAAUUUUGGGAAGCAAUAAGUUUACCAAAGUUCAUUGUGGGCUUUUCUACUUAUAUACAAAAACAUAAAAAUAUCUAAUAUUGUACACUACAUUGUUCAAUGAAUGACAAGAAAGAGGUGGUGGAAGGUGGACAGUACUAUUCUUAAAAUCUAACACAAACAGUUGACAGUUUAAAAGAAAAAUAUAAAAUAUUUUUUCUAAUGGUGCAACCUUUUUUUAUAAGCGGAACCAAAGUAUUUUUCUCAUAAUGAUGCCCAUAAAAAAGGCGGCAAUAAAUUUAGAUAGUAGUGUCUAUGAGAAAAGUGACAUUAACUAUUAUCCUAUUAUUUAGAAAGAAUUAGAUAAAUUCACAUCGUAACUACUCAUUCAAAUUUAUAUAAUUAUCUUAUUGAUAUCACCAUCAUUUCUGAAGAAUCAUGGUGUCUAUUUAAAAGUUAAGAAACUAGAAUUCUUAAUGAUUGAUGUAUAUAUAAUAUAAUCACACUACAUAGUUAAAGUUUUUGAACUGACCCACAUGCAAAUAGCAUCUAAUAUUGUUGUAUAUAUUACUGAAAAUUUGAAGAACAAAACUACUUUUUAUAUACAUAUAGAAACAAAUUCCCUUCAAUACAAGCUUCUCGAAGCAUUGCUCCACGUUUACUAUUGUUUUAGCACUGCAUUCAAGAAACAUGAAUCCAAUAGGAUAACAAUUAGUGCCCCCUGCUCAUGGGCACCACUAUCUAAAUUUAUUGGUGCAGUCUUUAUCACGGGCAUUAUUACCCAAAUCCAUAUUUAACUCAUCUAUUAAUAUUUUGAUACUACCAAUAAUAAGAUUAUACCAUUGAAAAAGUACUUUUUUUAACUGUUAAAUGUUUGUGUCAAAAUUUAAAAGUGGUGCCCAUGUGUAUUACCCCAAACACUCCAUACCCAUAAUUAAUCGGAAUGGUGCACCAUUUUAGUUAUUUUUAUAUUAAAUAUGUAAAAAAAGAAGAAGCCUUGACUGUGUUUGACAAAAUGUAAAAUAAUGAGUAUAGAUUAAAAUUUUAUUAUUCUAAACAUGUCAUAUGUGAGUACAAACGACUAAUAAUACAUCCAAAUGAUAUAAUGAUUGUGAAACUGAUGACAUCAGUGACACAGAAAUUUCAACACCUUCCCCUCCCUUUCUCUGUUUUGACCAUCGAUUCCCUCUAUUUAUAUUCUUUCUGCCUUCUCCAAUUUCCUCUGCACGCCCAGACGAAAUGGUCUCUUUUUUAUCCUUUCUUUCGCCUUUCGCUCCAUUUUCUGUCACCUUUUUGCUUCUUUUUCUUUUCGUAGAGCAAAUCUGUUACUUGCGUAAAAAGCGAAAUGUCCCUGGCCCCAAUAUCAUCUUGCCUUUUUUGGGCAACGCCAUUCAUUAAUCACAAAACCAACAAGCUUCUGGGAAGUUCAAGCUGAUUUGGCUGCUUCUCUUGGAUUUUCUGUUAAUUAUAUCAUCGGUCGCUUCAUCGUCUUUAUCCGAAACACCGAGCUUUCCCACAUUAUCUUCGGUAACGUCCGACCCGAUGCUUUUUUACUUGUGGGACACCCCUUUGGUAAAAAAGCUUUUCGGUGAACAUAACAUGAUUUAUAUGUUUGGACAGGAUCACAAAGAUCUUCGCCGUCAAAUUGCUCCUAACUUCACUCCUAGGGCU